CUGAACUGUAUUUAAAUCUCAAAGGAUGGACAUCUCACAACCUUCCUACAGCAAGUACUGUGAGAAAAGAUACUAGCACCCAUCUGGCAGGGGCCUUUACUAGUUUCAAGCACACUGAGCAGACCUACACCUUGCCUUCUGAGAGAGAAGAGGACAGUCCUCAGCCUCCUGAAGCCUGGCAAGGGUGCCUUAGUGAGGACAUCACCUGCAACUCCCAGAUGGAUAAAUGAGGCCAUGGAGAGAGGAGAACACCAACCCAUGAGUGACAAGUGCCUGCCAUUGUCAAUGAUGCUGCAAGUACCAUGAUGCCCCUUCUUAGCAGGGACCCAGUGGGCCUUAGCAGCUUCGUUAUUUUCUAGGCAUGAUCGCAUCUGUCUCCCAUUUUUGCUAAAAUUCUAUCUAGAGAAAGAGCUCAUUUUUAGCU
rnacentral:lncRNA from 1 species